rnacentral:misc_RNA from 1 species
GAUGAAGAACGUAGCGAAAUGCGAUAAGUAAUGUGAAUUGCAGAAUUUAGUGAAUCAUCGAAUCUUUGAACGCACAUUGCGCCCACCAGUAUUCUGGUGGGCAUGCCUGUUCGAGCGUCAUUUCAAGCCCCUAAGCCCUGCUGCUUAGCGUUGGGGACCGCUGUCAAAGGCGCCCUCUAAAGACAUUGGCGGAGUUGUCGAGGCUCUCAGCGUAGUAAUUCUUCUCGCUUCAGAGCACCGGCGGCGCCUGCCACGAGCCUAUUUCUCAAGGUUUGACCUCGGAUCAGGUAGGAAUACCCGCUGAACUUAAGCAUAUCAAUAAGUGGAGGA